ACGGCGCACGGGUGCGUAACACGUGGGUAAUCUGCCCUUCGAUGGGGAAUAACUUCGGGAAACCGAAGCUAAUUCCGCAUAACAUUCCGAGAACUUUGGUUUUUGGAUUCAAAGGCGUAAGUCGUCGGAGGAGGAGCCCGCGCACGAUUAGCUAGUUGGUGAGGAAAUGGCUCACCAAGGCUAUGAUCGUUAGCUGGUCUGAGAGGAUGGCCAGCCACACUGGAACUGAGACACGGUCCAGACUCCUACGGGAGGCAGCAGUGGGGAAUCUUGCACAAUGGGCGAAAGCCUGAUGCAGCGACGCCGCGUGGGGGAUGAAGCUUCUCGGAGUGUAAACCCCUUUCGACCCGGACGAAUGCCUCGCAAGAGGACUGACGGUACGGGUAUAAGAAGCCCCGGCUAACUACGUGCCAGCAGCCGCGGUAAGACGUAGGGGGCCAGCGUUGCUCGGAAUUACUGGGUGUAAAGGGUUCGUAGGCGGUGCGGAAAGUUGGGAGUGAAAUCUCUGGGCUUAACUCAGAGACUGCUUUCAA
rnacentral:rRNA from 1 species